UACGUAGGGUGCGAGCGUUGUCCGGAAUUAUUGGGCGUAAAGAGCUCGUAGGCGGUCUGUCGCGUCGAUCGUGAAAACUCAGGGCUCAACCCUGAGCGUGCUUCCGAUACGGGCAGACUAGAGGUAUGCAGGGGAGAACGAAUUCCUGGUGUAGCGGUGGAAUGCGCAGAUAUCAGGAGGAACACCGGUGGCGAAGGCGGUUCUCUGGGCAUUACCUGACGCUGAGGAGCGAAAGCAUGGGGAGCGAACAGG
rnacentral:rRNA from 1 species